CAACCGUGACAUCGACUAGGCAAUAAUUGCUUUGAAGGAGGGUGCUCAACUACUGAAAUAUGGUCGUAAGGGAAAGCCUAAGUUUUGUCCAUUUAGACUUUCUACUGACGAAUCAACUUUGAUCUGGAUUUCAAGUAGCGAAAGAAGUUUGAAGUUGGCUUCUGUCACAAGAAUUGUUCCUGGACAAAGAACUGCUGUCUUUCAACGAUAUUUACGUCCUGAAAAGGACUAUUUAUCAUUUUCUCUUCCAUACAAUAACGGAGCGCGGUCUCUUGAUCUGAUUUGCAAGGACAAAGUU